GUAAACACCAGCAGGUGGUCAACCCUCCAGGAGACGUCCAAAAUGAAAGCCAUUCAUCUUGCUGUUCUUGUCCUGCUCGUCUGCUUCAGCUGCCCGACAUAUUUCACUUCUUUGCCUUAUUUCAGCCUUGGUUUCGAACACUUUAACAAUGUUGCAUUUGUUUUCCAGCUGAGGCCCUAAAGUGCUACCACUGUGUCCCGCCGAUGUUCGGGGCAGGAUGCGUCGACACCGUGAUGAAGUGCUCUGAACAUAACGACGUUUGUGUCAGAGUUUUUAUGGACAACAUCAUAUUGCCCAAAUACAAGAUGUGUACAACAAGAUCAUACGCUGAAUUUUUGCAGUCAGAUCUGGCCAAGGACGUCUAUAUUUGUGACUAUGAUCUCUGCAACUGAGACAAGGAUCAGACCAUCAUCUGCAUAAAUAGAACAAUCAUAGACAUGUUGUCUAGUGUGGUUUUUAAGCCUGUGAAUAUAUAUAAAGAUGUCAUUAUUUC